CAGUCGCCGCGGGAAUACGGAGGGUGCAAGCGUUAUCCGGAUUUAUUGGGUUUAAAGGGUCCGUAGGCGGAUCUGUAAGUCAGUGGUGAAAUCUCACAGCUUAACUGUGAAACUGCCAUUGAUACUGCAGGUCUUGAGUAAAUUUGAAGUGGCUGGAAUAAGUAGUGUAGCGGUGAAAUGCAUAGAUAUUACUUAGAACACCAAUUGCGAAGGCAGGUCACUAAGAUUUAACUGACGCUGAUGGACGAAAGCGUGGGGAGCGAACAGGAUUAGAUACCCGUGUAGUCCCUGUCUCUUAUAC
rnacentral:rRNA from 1 species